UACAGAGGGUGCGAGCGUUAAUCGGAAUUACUGGGCGUAAAGCGCGCGUAGGCGGCUUUGCAAGUCGGGUGUGAAAUCCCCAGGCUUAACCUGGGAACUGCAUUCGAGACUGCAUUGCUAGAGUAUGGGAGAGGGAAGUGGAAUUUCCGGUGUAGCGGUGAAAUGCGUAGAUAUCAGGAGGAACACUGCGGUGUAGACAGCUUACUGGACCACUUCUGACGCUGAGACACGAAAGCGUGGGUAGCAAACAGG
rnacentral:rRNA from 1 species